rnacentral:rRNA from 1 species
UCGACCCCUAAGGCGAGGCCGAAAGGCGUAGUCGAUGGGAAACGGGUUAAUAUUCCCGUACUUGGUGUUACUGCGAAGGGGGGACGGAGAAGGCUAUGUUGGCCGGGCGACGGUUGUCCCGGUUUAAGCGUGUAGGUGUGUGUUCCAGGUAAAUCCGGUUCACUUUAACACUGAGGCGUGAUGACGAGGCACUACGGUGCUGAAGCAACAAAUGCCCUGCUUCCAGGAAAAGCCUCUAAGCAUCAGGUAACAUCAAAUCGUACCCCAAACCGACACAGGUGGUCAGGUAGAGAAUACCAAGGCGCUUGAGAGAACUCGGGUGAAGGAACUAGGCAAAAUGGUGCCGUAACUUCGGGAGAAGGCACGCUGACACGUAGGUGAAGUGAUUUACUCAUGGAGCUGAAGUCAGUCGAAGAUACCAGCUGGCUGCAACUGUUUAUUAAAAACACAGCACUGUGCAAACACGAAAGUGGACGUAUACGGUGUGACGCCUGCCCGGUGCCGGAAGGUUAAUUGAUGGGGUCAGCGCAAGCGAAGCUCCUGAUCGAAGCCCCGGUAAACGGCGGCCGUAACUAUAACGGUCCUAAGGUAGCGAAAUUCCUUGUCGGGUAAGUUCCGACCUGCACGAAUGGCGUAAUGAUGGCCAGGCUGUCUCCACCCGAGACUCAGUGAAAUUGAACUCGCUGUGAAGAUGCAGUGUACCCGCGGCAAGACGGAAAGACCCCGUGAACCUUUACUAUAGCUUGACACUGAACAUUGAGCCUUGAUGUGUAGGAUAGGUGGGAGGCUUUGAAGUGUGGACGCCAGUCUGCAUGGAGCCGGCCUUGAAAUACCACCCUUUAAUGUUUGAUGUUCUAACGUGGACCCGUGAUCCGGGUUGCGGACAGUGUCUGGUGGGUAGUUUGACUGGGGCGGUCUCCUCCUAAAGAGUAACGGAGGAGCACGAAGGUUGGCUAAUCCUGGUCGGACAUCAGGAGGUUAGUGCAAUGGCAUAAGCCAGCUUGACUGCGAGCGUGACGGCGCGAGCAGGUGCGAAAGCAGGUCAUAGUGAUCCGGUGGUUCUGAAUGGAAGGGCCAUCGCUCAACGGAUAAAAGGUACUCCGGGGAUAACAGGCUGAUACCGCCCAAGAGUUCAUAUCGACGGCGGUGUUUGGCACCUCGAUGUCGGCUCAUCACAUCCUGGGGCUGAAGUAGGUCCCAAGGGUAUGGCUGUUCGCCAUUUAAAGUGGUACGCGAGCUGGGUUUAGAACGUCGUGAGACAGUUCGGUCCCUAUCUGCCGUGGGCGCUGGAGAACUGAGGGGGGCUGCUCCUAGUACGAGAGGACCGGAGUGGACGCAUCACUGGUGUUCGGGUUGUCAUGCCAAUGGCACUGCCCGGUAGCUAAAUGCGGAAGAGAUAAGUGCUGAAAGCAUCUAAGCACGAAACUUGCCCCGAGAUGAGUUCUCCCUGAGACUUUAGGUCUCCUGAAGGAACGUUGAAGACGACGACGUUGAUAGGCCGGGUGUGUAAGCGCAGCGAUGCGUUGAGCUAACCGGUACUAAUGAACCGUGAGGCUUAACCUUACA